AGAAGGGAAAAACUGAGUCAUAUGAUUUACAUGUUCGUUCAAAAUGGUCUCAGCUUGCUGCGCAGAUGUAGCUAGGUGAGUACAUUGGCAGAAUUUGAAGAUGAUCUACAGAAACUCAAGAAACAGGAUUUCUCUAUCCACAAGUAGCUGACUAACUAACUCAUGAUUGCAGAUAAAGCACAUUGUUACGACCAGUCUCUGCCUGAGGUUCCCCCAUUUGUUUUGCUCCCAGAUGAAUGUCAAGACACAGAUCUAAUGGAACCCUGAACACGGGAUUGGCAUGUUGAAGAUAUCCUUCCCGUGUCCACACAGUCAGAAAGAGCUGUAUAAAAUGUGCGGAAGAUCUAAACGAUAUUUUGAGAGUGAUUCAUCGUACAAAACUUUGCCUUUCAGGGGCUUUCGGAAGAAAACUUAUACACAUUAGUGCAGACUUUGAGAAAGGGCACAAACAUGUUCUUAGCCAGUCCAAAUAAUUUUUAAUGGCCCACAUCACAUAAUUGUUUGAAACAUUUUGAAAGUCUGUAUGGGACCCUGCAUGGCUACUGCAGCAGUCUGUACAGCAGCAUGUCACUCAGGUGUACUUAUGUCUAUGUCUCCAACAGCUUGCAGAAUCUUUCAGAAAAUAGCACGUCUACUGAUAUUCCAGGCAACAAAUAGCACGUCUACUGAUAUUCCAGGUAACAAGUGUAAUUGUUUCAGCCUUAUUGUUUCUCCUGAGUCCUCUCUACCCACUGUGUGGUUGGAACAUCUGUUGGAGCAGAAGUUGAAUCCCAAGCAGCUGUGUAUUCCAUGGUAGCAAUGCAGCAUGAUGAUGUCACUGUGGGUGUCUGCAGUCUGCACUGACUGACUCACUGCAGAAUGUCAUUGCUUAUCUUAAAAGAGGAGGAGAAAACACUACAUUCCUUAAAAACAUUGAGCCAAAAUUACAGUUAGAGUAUUUCAGGAAGUAGUUGUUUGGUAGUACAGAACUUGAGUGUUGCUGAAAAAAGAGACAUGCCUAAGCUUCUGGCCUUGCACCAAUCAGGGCACUUCACAAGAAUGCCAAUAUAAGGGGGAAAACAACAACUUAUACUGUAUAUGAAGAGAAUGCUGAUCGGUUGGCAAGUGGCGUUGCCAUUGAUAAUGUACCAGUGAUGGCGACUGACAGUUAACUGCCAACAUUGUUUGAAAUUUAAGUCAGGCAGACUAACCCUGAUUGGUCAAGGCAUUGACCUGAGGAAUGAGUCAGCGAAUGCUGUCACUUAUCUUGCUUAGCUGAAACAGACACAAUGUAUGCACAUGUUUGUUCUGUCUGCAAAGAACAAGGUCCUGUGUGUACUGGAUGCUACAUAUAUUAAUACAUAUGAUUCCGGAGAGCAGGGCUUAUAAUGAGAUGCUGCAUUAUUGAAAUUAGGAUCUCGAUUUGUGGCGAGUGAUUGCAAACUGAUUUCACAACGGGGUGAAACCAAUUUUUGGCCUUCUCACCAUUUUGUCCCCCCUCUGCCUGCCACGACGCCUGACACCAGCGGCACUGGAAAAAUUCCAGCCCAUAACCUCAGUCACCUCCAUGCCAAAACUAAACUGGCCAGUAUAGACAUACAUGAUCUAAAGUUUGCAGGUGACUGCAGUGCCAUUGCCCAUUCUGCAUCAGAUUUACUUGCGACUCUCGAUCUCUUCGAUACUGCAUACAAAGAUACUUGGCCUGACCUUGAAUGUUGCCAAAACAGAACUCAUAUUUCAAUCCAUACCUGGUGAGCCAAAUAUUCUACCCCCCAUUUCUGUUGAAGGAGAGAUUCUGGAAUAUGUUGAGCACUUCCAAUACCUUGGCAAUCAUCUCUCUCAAAAGGCGACCAUUGACAAGGAGGUCCAACACCACAUCAGCUGCUCCAGCUCAGCCUUCUACAAACUACAGCAGUGAAUUUUUGACAACAAAGACCGAUGCAAGUCAACAAAGGUGCUCGUGUACAGAGCAGUUGUCAUCACCUCGUUCCUACUGACCUGGACUAUGUAUCAGUGACUUAUAAGAAUGCUGGCAAGAUUCCAUCAGCAAUGUAUCUGCUGUCUCCUCCUAAUUCAAUGGGAGGACCAUCGGACAAAAUCUAAAGUCCUUCUUGAAGCCAGUUCCACAAGCAUUCAGGCAGAGCUCCUGAAAAAUCAACUUUGAUGGACUGAACACUGUGUCCAAAUGGCCGAAAGGCAUCACCCCUGCCAGGGCCUGUUUUCUCAACUCUUAAAUGGCCAACUCUCCUUGGAAGGGCAAAGAAAAUGCUUCAAAGACACUCUAAAGCUCUCCUUGAAGGGCGGCAACAUUGACAUUAAUGACUGGGAGGAGCUUGCAACCAAUUGUUCAAAAUGGGCACAGCUUGUCCAUCAAGCUACAUCAAGUCUGGAGUCACAAUUUCUCAAUGAUGAGGGAGAAAUAUGACAGAGAAGUAAAGAAAAGUUAGCAAACUCUGUGCUCUGGAUUCCACUAACUUGUAGAACAUCCUGCCCCAUGAUUCCGAAUACCUGCAGUUCAAGAAUCAGCCUGUUCAGCCACAUGAAGGCCCAUGGCAGAAACUCACAACUUUGCAUUGAUGCCAUCCUUGAAUCAAGAUCGACAGCCUACGAUGAUCAAAAUAUGAAUUCUGUUUCCAGAGGCAUGUGAGAUUGAGGGCCGAGGAUGAGAAGAUAGAGUUAUACUCAUUUUCAUUCACGCUUGUUCAGUUAUGAGUUAUACUCAUUUUCAUGCACGCUCAUUCAGUGCAUAUCUGCAAAUACAAAAAAAAUUGUAGUCCUGUUUGUACCAUGUGUUUGCCUCCUGCCCUUAUUGUGGAUUGAAGGUCUCAUUUAUGAUGCAUGUUUUUGUUGUUUCUUUUUCACAGUAGCUCCACAUUCAAAAGGUAUGGUCAAAAUGAGUUGACAACCAAAAAAGACCCUGUAUGGGUGAAAUUUGUCUACAGCAACGGUACAAAAUGUGCUUGUAGCAAAUUGGCAGCUUUUAUUUUCCAAUAGCUUGGAAAAUAUUGCCAAGAUUUUUGAUUUCAAAUCCAAGCAAUGGUGACAGUGAAUCUAGUAAGUGAGUCUCUGAAAAGUGUUUGAACUGUUGCACUGUGAAGUUCAGUGGAAAAAGAUCAAGAAUCUUGAAAGAUCAACUGCCAUUUCACUAUGAGUUUGUUUCAGGCUACUUGUGUAAAUCAGUUUAGCCCCCUGCAUGUUUCAGGGUGCCUGUAUUAUGCUAGCAUAAGCUUUGAAAGUGAACUUAUUCCGCAUGUAUACUACUAAAUCUGAGGGUAUGUGCAUUUAUUUAUACUUGGGGAAACGUUUUGAUCAAUUCACGUCAAAGGUCUAGCGUUCAUGAACUGAUCGAGAACUAAUCUUAUGAUUAUUGCUCUAAUGACCUGCAAUAUAAACAUGCCAUUCCCAGCAAUAACGUUUAAAUAAAUUGAUGCAUGUUAA